rnacentral:rRNA from 1 species
GCUAAGCACCAUGUCAUCUUGAACACACCCGAUCCCAUAUGAUGUUGGAAGCUAAAUCAGAGUCAGGCCUGGACUGGAAAACCACCAGGAAUACACAGAAAUCUUUAGGC